rnacentral:rRNA from 1 species
GAACGCUGGCGGCGUGCUUAACACAUGCAAGUCGAACGAUGAAGCCCUUCGGGGUGGAUUAGUGGCGAACGGGUGAGUAACACGUGGGCAAUCUGCCCUUCACUCUGGGACAAGCCCUGGAAACGGGGUCUAAUACCGGAUACGAGGUUCGGAGGCAUCUCUGAACUUGGAAAGCUCCGGCGGUGAAGGAUGAGCCCGCGGCCUAUCAGCUUGUUGGUGAGGUAAUGGCUCACCAAGGCGACGACGGGUAGCCGGCCUGAGAGGGCGACCGGCCACACUGGGACUGAGACACGGCCCAGACUCCUACGGGAGGCAGCAGUGGGGAAUAUUGCACAAUGGGCGAAAGCCUGAUGCAGCGACGCCGCGUGAGGGAUGACGGCCUUCGGGUUGUAAACCUCUUUCAGCAGGGAAGAAGCGAAAGUGACGGUACCUGCAGAAGAAGCGCCGGCUAACUACGUGCCAGCAGCCGCGGUAAUACGUAGGGCGCAAGCGUUGUCCGGAAUUAUUGGGCGUAAAGAGCUCGUAGGCGG